rnacentral:rRNA from 1 species
UACGGAGGGGACGAGCGUUAUCCGUCAUGACUGGGCGUAAAGUGUUCGUAGGUUGUUUUGGAAUUUUUUAGUACAUUACUUAAUGAAAAUUUUGAAAUGCUUUAAUUAAAUUCUUAAACUUGAAUAUAAAAGAAGUUAAUGGAAUUUCAUAUGUAGAGUUAAAAUGCUUAGACAUAUGAAGGAAUGCCAGAGGCAAAAGCGAUUUUCUAAUUUAUAUUGACACUGAGGAACGAAAGCAUGGGGAGCAAACAGGAUUAGAUA